UGGAUAUAGUUUAAUUAAAAUAUUAGAUUGUGAUUCUAAGGACAGGAGUUAAAGCCCCCUUAUCCACCG
rnacentral:tRNA from 1 species